UGCUCUACUUCCUCCGGCGACCGGAGCGAGGCGCCUCCCGAGAUCUGCGCCUCCACGGUCCUCCAUCUCCUUCCGCUGAGCUCUACUCCGCCUCCAUCGAAGCUCCUCUCCCCUCCGGCAAUGGCGACGGUGGUCUUCCUCGGGGAACGGCGACGGUGGUCUUCCUCCGGGAACGGCGACGGUCCUCCUCUCCUCCGGCGAUGAACCGAGUCCUCUAGUCGCGGGAGAGCACAACCUCCUCCUCCAUAUUUUCCCUCUACAUGCUCAGAUCUACUGGUGCUACAUCAGAUCUUGCAAAUCACCGGUGAGAACAUCAGCACAACCUUCUUCCCCUUCUCUUCCCGAUUUAGAUUCCCCAUGGAUCUAUGCAUUGGGCGAUGGGAGUUCCUGAUUAGGUGAAGGAGGCAACAUCCAAGGUCAUACUCUGUUUUCCGCUCUGUUUCGCUGCUACUCUAGCAUCUGGUCGAGGAUAACUCUAUGUUGGUUGCCCCUGUGUACUUUGAUUUUGUAUGUAACCUGGACAUAUGGUGUUAAUAGUAUUUGUACAAACUAGUUCUGUAAAGUAUCCUUGGAUAGUUCCUGUUAAUGCAUGUAAUUUCUAUGCUCUAGUCAAUUACAUGUGAAGUUGAUUGAAUCUGUGCUCAAGUUCAAUGUAGCUUGCAUUUGCCUUCACAAUAUACCUCAUUUAUUGGUACCAUUCAGCAUUGUUUGGUGUUGUUGUCUGAUCUCCAUAACCAAUAGUGCAGUAGUACAACUUGAGUACUUUGAUUUCUUGCUAAAAAAAUGCUCUGAUUUCUUGUAAAGCUAGAACCAGUCACAUAGUGGUUUCGCCCCGUGGCAUUCCUCCUUCCUCUGACCGUAUCUUUUUUGGUGUGUGCAUGGUUUCUUUUUCCGAGUCAAAAGUUCAACUUGCAUCGCAGUAGUUGAAAAUUAGUUUCAUCAAUCCGACAUGUAUAUCUUACAAUAACAUAUAUUAUUGUUCAACUUGCA